AGUGAACGCUGGCGGUAGGCCUAACACAUGCAAGCCGAACGGCAGCACAGUAAGAGCUUGCUCUUACGGGUGGCGAGUGGCGGACGGGUGAGGAAUACAUCGGAAUCUACUUUUUCGUGGGGGAUAACGUAGGGAAACUUACGCUAAUACCGCAUACGACCUACGGGUGAAAGCAGGGGAUCUUCGGACCUUUCGCGAUUGAAUGAGCCGAUGUCGGAUUAGCUAGUUGGCGUGGUAAAGGCCCACCAAGGCGACGAUCCGUAGCUGGUCUGAGAGGAUGAUCAGCCACACUGGAACUGAGACACGGUCCAGACUCCUACGGGAGGCAGCAGUGGGGAAUAUUGGACAAUGGGCGCAAGCCUGAUCCAGCCAUACCGCGUGGGUGAAGAAGGCCUUCGGGUUGUAAAGCCCUUUUGUUGGGAAAGAAAAGCAGCAGGUUAAUACCCCGCUGUUCUGACGGUACCCAAAGAAUAAGCACCGGCUAACUUCGUG
rnacentral:rRNA from 1 species